rnacentral:rRNA from 1 species
AGUGAACGCUGGCGGUAGGCCUAACACAUGCAAGUCGAACGGCAGCACAGUAAGAGCUUGCUCUUACGGGUGGCGAGUGGCGGACGGGUGAGGAAUACAUCGGAUUCUACUUUUUCGUGGGGGCUAACGUAGGGAAACUUACUCUAAUACCGCAUACGACCUACGUGUGAAAGCAGGGGAUCUUCGGACCUUGCGCGAUUGAAUGAGCCGAUGUCGGAUUAGCUAGUUGGCGGGGUAAAGGCCCACCAAGGCGACGAUCCGUAGCUGGUCUGAGAGGAUGAUCAGCCACACUGGAACAGAGACACGGUCCAGACUCAUACGGGAGGCAGCAGUGGGGAAUAUUGGACAAUGGGCGAAAGCCUGAUACAGCCAUACCGCGUGGGUGAAGAAGGAGUUCGGGUUGUAAAGCCCUUUUGUUGGGAAAGAAAAGCAGCAGGUUAAUACCCGGCUGUUCUGACGGUACCGAAAGAAUAAGCACCGGCUAACUUCGUG